AUGGGUUAAUCCUAGAGGGACCUGGCACCUAGACCACUUCUUUAAGCUGAAGUGGUCUGGGUGCCUAGAGUGGUCCUUUAAGGUAAGGGACUGAAGGGGUUUUAACCCCUUCAGUGCCAAGGGAGGGGGGCACUGCAAGAGCCUACAGUGCCUUGAAAACGGGUUUGUUUUCCUGGCACUAGAUCCCUUUAUGGAGAGGAAACCUGAGGAAGAAAAUUAAAA